UCGGGAAUUUUGGGCAAUGGGCGACAGCCUGACGCAGCGACGCCGCGUGGGGGAUGAAGGUCUUCGGAUUGUAAACCCCUUUCGGCAGGGAAGAUGGAACGGGUAACCGUUCGGACGGUACCUGCAGAAGCAGCCACGGCUAACUUCGUGCCAGCAGCCGCGGUAAUACGAAGGGGGCUAGCGUUGUUCGGAAUUACUGGGCGUAAAGCGCAUGUAGGCGGGUCGUUAAGUCGGGGGUGAAAGCCCAGAGCUCAACUCUGGAACUGCCUUCGAUACUGGCGACCUGGACCCAAGGAGAGGCGAGUGGAAUUGCGAGUGUAGAGGUGAAAUUCGUAGAUAUUCGCAGGAACACCAGUGGCGAAGGCGACUCGCUGGACUUGUGGUGACGCUGAGAUGCGAAAGCGUGGGGAGCAAACAGGAUUAGAUACCCCAGUAGUCCCUGAGCGGGCUGGCAAGGCGCAU
rnacentral:rRNA from 1 species